CGGUUGCAUCCUGCGAAUCCCUUGGAAACUUGGGAGUGCCUUCGGGAGCGCAGUGACAGGUGGUGCAUGGCUGUCGUCAGCUCGUGUCGUGAGAUGUUGGGUUAAGUCCCGCAACGAGCGCAACCCACGUCUUUAGUUGCCAGCAUUUAGUUGGGCACUCUAGAGAGACCGCCGGUGAUAAACCGGAGGAAGGUGUGGAUGACGUCAAGUCAUCAUGCCCCUUACAUCCUGGGCUACACACGUACUACAAUGCUACGGACAAAGGGCAGCAAACUCGCGAGAGCUAGCAAAUCCCAUAAACCGUGGCUCAGUUCAGAUCGUAGGCUGCAACUCGCCUACGUGAAGGAGGAAUCGCUAGUAAUCGCAGGUCAGCAUACUGCGGUGAAUACGUUCCCGGGUCUUUGUACACACCGA
rnacentral:rRNA from 1 species